rnacentral:rRNA from 1 species
AAUGGACGCAAGUCUGAACCAGCCAUGCCGCGUGCAGGAUGACUGCCCUAUGGGUUGUAAACUGCUUUUGUAUGGGAAGAAUUGCAUCUACGUGUAGAUGUUUGCCGGUACCAUACGAAUAAGGAUCGGCUAACUCCGUGCCAGCAGCCGCGGUAAUACGGAGGAUUCGAGCGUUAUCCGGAUUUAUUGGGUUUAAAGGGUGCGUAGGCGGCUGAAUAAGUCAGUGGUGAAAGACUGUGGCUCAACCAUAGAAUUGCCAUUGAAACUGUUUAGCUUGAAUAUAGUUGAGGUAGGCGGAAUGUGUAGUGUAGCGGUGAAAUGCUUAGAUAUUACACAGAACACCGAUUGCGAAGGCAGCUUACUAAGCUAUUAUUGACGCUGAUGCACGAAAGCGUGGGUAGCGAACAGGAUUAGAUACCCUGGUAGUCCACGCCGUAAACGAUGAUCACUCGUUGUCUGCGAUACAUUGUAGGUGACUAAGCGAAAGCGAUAAGUGAUCCACCUGGGGAGUACGAUCGCAAGAUUGAAACUCAAA